rnacentral:rRNA from 1 species
AAUGAACGCUAGCGGCAGGCCUAACACAUGCAAGUCGAGGGGUAGAACACUUCGGUGUUUGAGACCGGCGCACGGGUGCGUAACGCGUAUGCAAUCUACCUUGUACAGGGGAAUAGCCCAGAGAAAUUUGGAUUAAUGCCCCAUAGUAUAUAACCUUCGCAUGUUGGUUAUAUUAAAGUUCCAACGGUACAAGAUGAGCAUGCGUCCCAUUAGUUAGUUGGUAAGGUAACGGCUUACCAAGACGAUGAUGGGUAGGGGUCCUGAGAGGGAGAUCCCCCACACUGGUACUGAGACACGGACCAGACUCCUGCGGGAGGCAGCAGUGAGGAAUAUUGGUCAAUGGGCGCAAGCCUGAACCAGCCAUGCCGCGUGCAGGAAGACGGUCCUAUGGAUUGUAAACUGCUUUUAUACAGGAAGAAACCCUCCCACGUGUGGGAGAUUGACGGUACUGUAGGAAUAAGGAUCGGCUAACUCCGUGCCAGCAGCCGCCGCAGUAA